rnacentral:rRNA from 1 species
GUGGGGAAUAUUGGGCAAUGGGGGCAACCCUGACCCAGCGACGCCGCGUGAGGGAAGAAGGCCUUAGGGUCGUAAACCUCUGUUGUGUGGGAAGAAGGAAGUGACGGUACCACACGAGGAAGUCCCGGCUAACUACGUGCCAGCAUCCGCGGUAAUACGUGGGGGACGAGCGUUGUCCGGAUUUACUGGGCGUAAAGGGCGCGUAGGCGGUCAUUUAUGUCAGCUGUGAAAUGGUUUGGCUUAACCGGAUCAUGCGGUUGAAACUGUAUGACUGGAGUGCUGGAGAGGCAAGAGGAAUUCCCAGUGUAGCGGUGAAAUGCGUAGAUAUUGGGAAGAACACCGGUGGCGAAGGCGACUUGCUGGCCAGCAACUGACGCUGAGGCGCGAAAGCCAGGGGAGCAAACGGGAUUAGAACCCCUUGUAGUCC